UACAGGGGGUGCAAACGUUGCUCGGAAUUAUUGGGCGUAAAGGGCGCGUAGGCGGCUUGGCAAGUGGAUGGUGAAAUCCCUCGGCUUAACCGAGGAACUGCCGUCCAAACUGCUUUGCUUGAGGCCGGGAGAGGCGAGUGGAAUUCCCAGUGUAGCGGUGAAAUGCGUAGAUAUUGGGAGGAACACCAGUGGCGAAGGCGGCUCGCUGGACCGGUUCUGACGCUGAUGCGCGAAAGCGUGGGGAGCAAACGGG
rnacentral:rRNA from 1 species